rnacentral:rRNA from 1 species
CAGUCGCCGCGGUAAUACAGAGGGUGCGAGCGUUAAUCGGAUUUACUGGGCGUAAAGCGUGCGUAGGCGGCUUCUUAAGUCGGAUGUGAAAUCCCUGAGCUUAACUUAGGAAUUGCAUUCGAUACUGGGAAGCUAGAGUAUGGGAGAGGAUGGUAGAAUUCCAGGUGUAGCGGUAAAAUGCGUAGAGAUCUGGAGGAAUACCGAUGGCGAAGGCAGCCAUCUGGCCUAAUACUGACGCUGAGGUACGAAAGCAUGGGGAGCAAACAGGAUUAGAUACCCGCGUAGUCCCUGUCUCUUAUAC